rnacentral:lncRNA from 1 species
CGCUAACACAACCAACAACAGCAAGAAAGGCCAAGAAAGAACUCUCCGAAUUGAAAGUUUAUUUGGUGCAGGCCCUGGAAUAUGAAAACUUUUCCACCACUUCAAGAUUGUUUGGAACGAACUGGGUUCAG